AUUGACAUUCAUGAUGUAAUUGAUAUUCUUUUGAUUUAGUGGUUUCGUAUGUUUAAGAAUUUACCAUGUCUUAGUGAUUUUUUUUUUAAAUCAAGAUUCUACAAUGUCUUGUCUUUAGCAAAGAAUGUAUGGUGGUACCUAAAGUUGUCUCAUGGAUGUUUUGGUCACUACUUUUAGGCUCUUUUCGAGGGUUGUAAUUGUUUGUGGAAUCUUUAAUGGUUAAGUACUCUGUCAAGAUCAAAUAGAUUUGUGGGUUCUUUAUUGUUCCUAUUAUUUCUUUAAAAUAUACCAAGAGUUGAAUGCCUGCUGUUAGAAGAUUGGAUGGUAUUAUUUCAUUUUUCCUAAAAUAUAUGAAGAUUAAUAAUCAGUGUUUGUUGCAUUCGACAUAAAAGUAUGCUUUCUAUCUUUCUUUUUUUUGUUGAUGGAUUUCAUAAUGCGAUUCCAAGAUUUUCUUGAUUGGAAUUCAACCAUGUAAUUGAUAUUGUUUUGCUUUAGUGGUUUAUUAGGUUCAAGAGUUCACAAUUCUGAAAAACUUCUGCAUCUCCACUACAUUUGUUGCUCUGUAAAGUUAAUAAAGAUACAUCUGUGUUUUCGUCUACAACGUUCUCUUGUUUUCUUCAAAAUAUCUCGCUGAUUCUCUCUUCAUUCGAUCCACCAUAUGGUUAUAGUAUGGAGUACUAGAGGAGCUUUGUGGAGGCCUCUUCUGUUCCAAUAUAACAGCAGUUUUUGAGGGAUGCACUAUUUCACUUCUAGGGAUCAUCAUGGCUAAGAUGUAGCUUUACAAUGAAUAAAGGCUGGUUAUGUUGGUGAGGAUGUGGAAUCUGUAUUAUUAUCCAAAUUACUCUAGGCUGAGAGCCUUAACAUUGGCAGAGAUGUAUUUGAGGAGGCCUUCCAACAGGCGCUGCUGAAGAUGCUUGAAGGAACUUUCCUGGCCUUCAAAUGUGUCCUCUUUCUAAGCAUUUUUCUGAGAUCAGUAAUCUCACUUGCUCAUUUUAUCUUUAUUUCUUCUUCCGAUUGUAAGUGUACCUGACAAUAGAGCAUGGAAGCAUCCAUGUGGCGAUACUAUUCAGGUAUACUGAAUCUAUUAAAGCCUCUUUUAUCUACUUUUUCUUUUUUUAAAAUUGCAGUCAAACAGUUUUGUGGGAAAAGCACUUACCCCUUGCUUUUUGGAUGGUAAUAUAGUUUAGUGCUUUUUAGAAUCAAUUUGAUUAUGUUGAGGGUGAAAAACAAAUCUCUACUGGGAAAGAUUGUUUGGCCAAAGAAAAUCAGAUGUCAAACACUGACCUAUUCAACAAGCACGAAACAGGACUUCUUCAGCUAAACUCACAUAUGUUGGGAGGGGAAAGUCAAGUUAAUUACUGGUUUAUAUGUCUUGCAGCAAUCAUCUACAAAGGAUGUGAAGUUGUAACGAGCUGGACAUUCCUUAUUCAAUAGCUCAUCACUGUUCAUUCUUGAUGCUGUCUGCUCUUUAUACUUUUCCAUACACUAAUCUGCAGAUAGCUAAAGCUAUCCUUUUUAUUUGUGGUGGAGCUUUUGUUGGUAGAGAAGACAAUUUCAGAAAGACGACAAGAUUCUUCAACUGGAUUUGGAGUACCUGUUCUAACUAACAUGAGAGUUGGUGGUCUAACUGAUACUGUAGUUACAUCAUCACUAUUGGAAUCUGUGAGGAGAUCCCUGUGACUUGAGUGUAGUUUUCUUUUUCGGAUCACUAUUUUGUAAAUCUAAUGAUUUCAUGACUCUUAUUCUCGUGAAAUUCUAAAAACCAAAUGCAUCGGAAGCAUUUAUGUCACAUUGCUUUCUGUAUCUAGUAGAAACUGACGAUCUCACUGCGGAUGGACUCAUAUUUGUGGUGCGAUUUCCAGUAUUAGUGAGUUUAUCUUCCCUGGAUGAGGAUUAGCUUGUUCAGGGAAUGAGCACUGAGAUUAAGUGUGAAUGUCUUGACAUACUAUGUGAUGUUCUUCAAAAGUACGGGAAUUUGAUGGACACUGACCAUGAGUCAUUGCUAACUUCAUUAUUGCCCCAGCUGAGUUCCAAUCAAGCUCGUUUCAGGAAGAAGAGCAUUUCAUGUAUAGGCGCUUGAGAGCUUUUUGCGAAGGUGUCCCCGGGAUAGUUCUUCCUACUGUGAUGAACUUUUGCAUCUCACCUGGAAUAUGUCAGCUAUGAUCCCAACUUCACUGACAAUAUGGAGGAAGAUAUUGAUGAAGAAAUUCUUGAGGAAGAUGAGGAUGACGUGACAGUGCUAAUGAAUACACGGAUGAUGAUGAUGUCAGUUGGAAGGUUAGAAGAGCUGCUUCCAAAUGCUUAGCUGAAUUGGUAGUUACUCAGCCUGAGAUGCAAUCAAAGCUGUACAAGCCGGCUUGUUCAAAGUUGAUUGAUAGGUUUAAAGAAAGGAAGAGUAAGGUAAAUUUGAAACGUCUUCUGAACUUCCUAGACAAAUUGGUUUUAAUUGUCUAAAUACUUGCUCGACAGAUGGCACUGAAUUGUUGCGACAAACAGGCAAUGUUACAGAAGGACAGUCACUUUGUAUGACUUUACUUGUCUUAUUUUGUGUUUUCUGUUAUCAUUUUACUUCCAACUGUGGAAGACAGUCACUUUUGGGAACACCUGUUUCACUUUCAAAGACUGAAUCUAAAUAUAUGCUAUUUUUAGUAUGAACUUGAGGCCGGACAGUACAGUGCAGAAAUAAGGCGGUAAGACGGUAAGAGCAAUGAUAGAAAGGAUGUUGGUGCAUUUUUACAUGGAUUUGUUUUUAAUUGCAAAAAAUUGGAUAUACUAUUGCCUAGAGGCUAUUUGUUGGCAUUUAUUAAAUUCGUGGGGUUUCUAGCCUAGAGCUAUUUGUUGGCAUUUAUACAGAAAGGAAACCAAAGUUUUUUUUUUUUUUUGAAGUAGAAAAUCUCUUUUGGAAUUAAACUAAAAUAAUACAAAAGAGGUCUCUAUACAAGAAAUAAGAAAAUUUUCCUAACACUGGUUAUGGUGUGUGUAACUUGAAGCUUCAAAGUGUUCUUACAAGAAAUAAGGAAAGUUUCCUAACACUUCUUUUAUGGUG